GACGAACGCUGGCGGCGUGCCUAAUACAUGCAAGUUGAGCGCUGAAGGUUGGUACUUGUACCAACUGGAUGAGCAGCGAACGGGUGAGUAACGCGUGGGGAAUCUGCCUUUGAGCGGGGGACAACAUUUGGAAACGAAUGCUAAUACCGCAUAAAAACUUUAAACACAAGUUUUAAGUUUGAAAGAUGCAAUUGCAUCGCUCAAAGAUGAUCCCGCGUUGUAUUAGCUAGUUGGUGAGGUAAAGGCUCACCAAGGCGAUGAUACAUAGCCGACCUGAGAGGGUGAUCGGCCACAUUGGGACUGAGACACGGCCCAAACUCCUACGGGAGGCAGCAGUAGGGAAUCUUCGGCAAUGGACGAAAGUCUGACCGAGCAACGCCGCGUGAGUGAAGAAGGUUUUCGGAUCGUAAAACUCUGUUGGUGGAGAAGAACGUUGGUGAGAGUGGAAAGCUCAUCAAGUGACGGUAACUACCCAGAAAGGGACGGCUAACUACGUG
rnacentral:rRNA from 1 species